AUGAAGCAAAACACAACGCUAAUCCGGCUAAUUAGUUCAGUGCUGGAUGACACGGCUAUGGUAGCGUGGGAUGAACCCGAUUUGCUACAAAACGUGAAACGGGUCAGGGGCCGUGGUUAGUUGAGUUGGUGUCGUAUGUGCCAUUGAUUCAUCUUUCGCCGUUAAUGGCCGUAAUGUUAUGGUUGGAGAGGCUAAAAGAAGCAGAGUAACAAUUAUAGAGCUGCUACAACAAAGCCUAGAACAACAUGCUGCAAGUGUACUGUUUUCUUCAACUAUAACCAACAAAAGGACCGUCAUAUAAGAUAUCGGAUUUACUUCGUAUCUGCCAACAAUUUAAAAAUGGAUGCAAUGUUUUUUUACACCCUUAACCUACGUACAAGCUGUCUCAUUUAAAUCUAUUUCUUAGUAAUAUGUCAACCCGCAUCUUUUGUUUUGUACAUAAUCAUAUCGCUCUACGGACUACAUGUUAAUAGCUAAUUCUGCAGUAUAGCAGGUUGUUUUUAGUAUUGUACUUCACUGGUAAGACUACAUAUUGCACACAUACAUGUAAAGUAUGCCGCUGCAUCAUGCGGGCAGACCUGCUAGUUCAUAUUUAUUCUCAUGAGUAUAAGUUGGCUAUUCAUAUCAUCACAUAUGAUGAAAAAAAGAUGCUUUCCUGUAUGUUCUUUUUCAUAUAUAAACAUGCAAAGUAACAUAAAAAGCAAAACUGCCAUAUUAAUAUUUACAUACUAUACAAUAAAAAAAUCAGCCGGAG
rnacentral:lncRNA from 1 species